rnacentral:rRNA from 1 species
UACGGAGGGUGCAAGCGUUAUCCGGAUUUACUGGGUUUAAAGGGUGCGCAGGCGGAUAUGUAAGUCAGUGGUGAAAUCUCCGGGCUUAACCCGGAACUGCCGUUGAUACUAUAUAUCUUGAAUGCUGUGGAGGUAAGCAGAAUAUGUCAUGUAGCGGUGAAAAUGCUUAGAGAUGACACAGAAUACCUAUUGCGAAGGCAGCUUACUACGCAGAUAUUGACGCUCAUGCACGAAAGCGUGGGGGAUCAAACAGG